rnacentral:rRNA from 1 species
GUGAGGAAUUUUCCGCAAUGGGCGAAAGCCUGACGGAGCAAUGCCGCGUGAAGGAUGAAGGCCUAUGGGUUGUAAACUUCUUUUCUCAGAAAAGAAUUAUGACGGUAUCUGAGGAAUAAGCAUCGGCUAACUCUGUGCCAGCAGCCGCGGUAAGACAGAGGAUGCAAGCGUUAUCCGGAAUGAUUGGGCGCAAAGCGUCUGUAGGUUGUUUAAAAAGUAUUCUGUCAAAGAUUAGGGCUUAACCCUAGAUAGGCAGAAUAAACUUUUAAGCUAGAGUUUGGUAGAGGCAGAGGGAAUUCCCGGUGGAGCGGUGAAAUGCGUAGAUAUCGGGAGGAACACCAAAGGCGAAGGCACUCUGCUGGGCCAAUACUAACACUGAGAGACGAAAGCGAGGGGAGCAAAUGGGAUUAGAAACCCCGGUAGUCC